UUUAUGCGCCGGGCUAAGAACAAUCUUGGGCCCAACCCUUGGAUAUUUGGGUCUCAACAUUAACCGCCUUGAUUAUUGGGGCCAUGAGCAGAUAUUGAGAUGGGCCAAAUAAUCAAACCGAGCCCAAAAGAAAAAUGAAAUCCAUGUUGGUGAUAUGACCUUCUCGUUUCCUGCUUGUGUGCUAAUGCCAAGAUUAUAUUCCAGCAGUUUUUUACAUUUCCUAGGUGCUUCAUUAAAAAUUUUUAUUUUCCUUUCCUUCUUCUCUUGGUCUUCAAUUUCUCUUCUUCUGUGCAUGCAAACCCAAACCCCUUGCUUUCUUCUUUCGAUUUUGUUGGUUCUUCAUCAUGCCCAGGUCUAGAGAACCCUUGUAAAUGAGAAAUCGCUAAGGGGCACCAUCCAUAACCGCUAGUUGGUUAAGCGCGGAGAAACGGUUCGCAACCACUAGGAGGGGCCACCGUUCUCCUUUAAAAACCCCAAAUUUCUUGAACUUCCUCUUCAAUUUGUUGAAGGCCAGGCUUGACAAGGUCACUUCGCGAGGUGUGGAGCAACUUGGAGAGAAAAUCACAAGGCAGUUCCCUCUUCUCUUGAUUUGGCAAGCUGCUGGGAAAGACGCAAUCGAGGGCA
rnacentral:lncRNA from 1 species